GCUUCCUCCAAAUGAAACUCCAGGCAGAGUUUAGACAGGCAGAACGUAAUUACCCAAACUGGAAUUUGGCCAGAGCACUGCAGACUCGGCAGUGAUUGAAAUAACUAAACAGAGGAAAAGAAAACUGUUGGUUUUAUUAGAGCGAGUUUCAAGGUCUGUCUGUUUGUGCACAGUCCAAAUCUCCGACAGCUCAGCUCAGGGUUUGUACCAUCAGGAGAACGGAAGAGCUGGCAAGCUGAGACACUACCAGUACUUUGUGGAAACCGACAUAUGAAUUUGUUCUACAAAUGUGCCAGGGACACACUGAUCCAACAGUUAGAUCACUUCCAGAAGACACCAAGUUAGAUCUCCGAGUUCACUUCCAAUUGCUGACUACUACUAUCCAAUAAAAGGAAAUUUCUGCAUAAAGUAAACAAGUUGGAAAAGUUCUGGGCUUUCAUCGAUAACUUCCCAGUUUGACAACGAGACCCUCAUGACCCAGCAGUGAGUCCCAGUUCCCACCUGGGUGCCUCUGGAGAGUGACAAAUCUCUUGGAUUUGCUCUCACAACCCAGAAGCACAGGCCAGGAACAUCUGUCUGUUCCUUCCCUUCCUUCAGACUGCCCUGAGGAGAAGGGAGGCAGGCAAGUAAGGAUAUGAAAGGCAAAGGCUCAACUGGCCAUGUUACAUUAGCCAACUCAAAUAAUUCCUCUUGGCUGUGGAAACAGCCUUCCCAUCCAAAGCUGUCUUUUUUUUCUUUUUUCUUUUUUUUCCUUUUUUUCCCCCCAAAAACAAGAACAACUUAUUUCCAAUUUUGGGCAGGUUCCU